UACGGAGGGUGCAAGCGUUAUCCGGAUUCACUGGGUUUAAAGGGUGCGUAGGUGGGUUGGUAAGUCAGUGGUGAAAGCCUGUUGCUUAACAACAGAACUGCCAUUGAUACUGCUAAUCUUGAGUACAUCUGAAGUGGGCGGAAUGUGUCAUGUAGCGGUGAAAUGCUUAGAUAUGACACAGAACACCGAUUGCGAAGGCAGCUCACUAAACUGUAACUGACACUGAGGCACGAAAGCGUGGGGAUCAAACAGG
rnacentral:rRNA from 1 species